UACGAGGGGAGCAAGCGUUGUUCGGAUUUACUGGGCGUAAAGGGCGCGUAGGCGGCCACGACAAGUCACUUGUGAAAUCUCCGGGCUUAACUCGGAACGGUCAAGUGAUACUGUCGGGCUAGAGUACAGAAGGGGCAACUGGAAUUCUCGGUGUAGCGGUGAAAUGCGUAGAUAUCGAGAGGAACACCUGCGGCGAAGGCGGGUUGCUGGGCUGAUACUGACGCUGAUGCGCGAAAGCCAGGGGAGCGAGCGGG
rnacentral:rRNA from 1 species